GAUGACCUAAUGUUGAGCCAAAGGAUAAGAUAACUUAAACGUUGUCCUUACAUUGGUUCUACCAAACGACCUACGUCUUGGGUCUUCGGUCUUUAACUCUUUGGCUCGUUCAUGCAAUUCCGUCAUCAGUAUGCUUCUCGCCAUUUGAUUGAUUGGCAUAUUAUAUCGUUGUUUGACACUUGACUUCAUUGUUUGUCAUUCAUCAAAACCUAUACCUGAAAAUCAUGCUCAUACAACCAAAGCGCACAUAUCAUAGAUA
rnacentral:lncRNA from 1 species